rnacentral:tRNA from 1 species
GCCUUCGUGGUGUAGUGGUCAGCACACUUGGCGCGUAUUCGAGAGGUCCGUGGUUCGAGUCCCGGCGAGGACA